rnacentral:rRNA from 1 species
CCUACGGGAGGCUGCAGUGAGGAAUAUUGGUCAAUGGGCGUAAUCCUGAACCAGCCAAGCCGCGUGCGGGAUGAAGGUUCUACGGAUCGUAAACCUCUUUUAUAACGGGAUAAAGUGUGUGACGUGUCCUAUUUUGUAUGUACCUUAUGAAUAAGGAUCGGCUAACUCCGUGCCAGCAGCCGCGGUAAUACGGAGGAUCCGAGCGUUAUCCGGAUUUAUUGGGUUUAAAGGGUGCGUAGGUGGUCUUUUAAGUCAGCGGUGAAAGUCCGAGGCUCAACAAUAGAAUUGCCGUUGAUACUGGCGUUCUUGAGAGGGGUAGAAGUAGGCGGAAGGUGUAGUGUAGCGGUGAAAUGCAUAGAUAUCACACAGAACUCCGAUUGCGAAGGCAGCAUACUAGGGCCCAACUGACACUGAAGCACGAAAGCGUGGGGAGCGAACAGGAUUAGAUACCCGAGUAGUC